rnacentral:lncRNA from 1 species
UUCAGAUCUUCCCUAAGGAGUACCCUUGAGAUGAAAGACACAAGACUGGGCAGAAGUAGGAGCUGAUGCAAAAGGCCUUCAUCAAAGGCCUCAGCUGAUUUUACGGAGAUCUCUGGGACUGAGACGGCCCCUCAGAGUGAUCGUCCCUGGAAACGAGCAGCACCCCUCACAGAGCAUUUCCUUGGAACACACGACCGGAGGAAGUCAUUCAGACACCAUGCCACCCAGCAAACCAUUUACGAGAAGCCCACACGUCUUCACAAAGGAUUCAAGCCCUCCUGUGGAAACCAUGGACCUAUGGAAGGAGACUUACUUGGAAGCCCUAACUGAAGGUGCACUGGCCUGAAGGAGGGAGAAAAUCUUGCAAGCGAAGUUUGUUGCUGACAACAUUUAACACGAAUAAAG